AUUGAACGCUGGCGGCAUGCCUUACACAUGCAAGUCGAACGGCAGCACGGGGGCAACCCUGGUGGCGAGUGGCGAACGGGUGAGUAAUACAUCGGAACGUAUCCUGUAGCGGGGGAUAACCUCUCGAAAGAGAGGCUAAUACCGCAUACGACCUACGGGUGAAAGAGGGGGAUCGCAAGACCUCUCACUAUUGGAGCGGCCGAUGUCGGAUUAGCUAGUUGGCGGGGUAACGGCCCACCAAGGCUACGAUCCGUAGCUGGUCUGAGAGGACGACCAGCCACACUGGAACUGAGACACGGUCCAGACUCCUACGGGAGGCAGCAGUGGGGAAUUUUGGACAA
rnacentral:rRNA from 1 species